CAGCAGCCACGGUAAAACGAAGGGAGCUAGCGUUGCUCGGAAUGACUGGGCGUAAAGGGCGCGUAGGCGGUUUUGACAGUCAGAUGUGAAAUUCCUGGGCUUAACCUGGGGGCUGCAUUUGAGACGUCAAGACUAGAGUGUGAGAGAGGGUUGUGGAAUUCCCAGUGUAGAGGUGAAAUUCGUAGAUAUUGGGAAGAACACCGGUGGCGAAGGCGGCAACCUGGCUCAUUACUGACGCUGAGGCGCGAAAGCGUGGGGAGCAAACAGGAUUAGAUACCCGCGUAGUCCCUGUCUCUUAUAC
rnacentral:rRNA from 1 species